rnacentral:rRNA from 1 species
UACGGCGUGGCAGCAGAAGCCCCAAGAAUUUAUGAGUGCCUCCGGGCUGUAAACCUCUUUUAUCAAGGAAGAAGAUCUGACGGUACUUGAUGAAUAAGCCACGGCUAAUUCCGUGCCAGCAGCCGCGGUAAUACGGGAGUGGCAAGCGUUAUCCGGAAUUAUUGGGCGUAAAGCGUCCGCAGGCGGCCCUUCAAGUCUGCUGUUAAAAAGUGGAGCUUAACUCCAUCAUGGCAGUGGAAACUGUUGGGCUUGAGUGUGGUAGGGGCAGAGGGAAUUCCCGGUGUAGCGGUGAAAUGCGUAGAUAUCGGGAAGAACACCAGUGGCGAAGGCGCUCUGCUGGGCCAUCACUGACGCUCAUGGACGAAAGCCAGGGGAGCGAAAGGGAUUAGAUACCCCUGUAGUCCUGGCCGUAAACGAUGAACACUAGGUGUCGGGGGAAUCGACCCCCUCGGUGUCGUAGCCAACGCGUUAAGUGUUCCGCCUGGGGAGUACGCACGCAAGUGUGAAACUCAAAGGAAUUGACGGAUCC